UUGCCUAUUUUGGAUUAACAGUUCAGAGC
rnacentral:piRNA from 1 species